rnacentral:rRNA from 1 species
CAGCAGCCGCGGUAAUACAGAGGCCUCAAGCGUUGUUCGGAUUCAUUGGGCGUAAAGGGUGCGUAGGUGGCUUGGUAAGUUGAAGGUGAAAUCUCGGGGCUUAACCCCGAAACUGCCUUCAAUACUGCUAGGCUCGAGGACUGUAGAGGAGAAUGGAAUUCACGGUGUAGCAGUGAAAUGCGUAGAUAUCGUGAGGAAGACCAGUGGCGAAGGCGAUUCUCUGGGCAGUUCCUGACACUGAGGCACGAAGGCCAGGGGAGCAAACGGGAUUAGAUACCCCAGUAGUCCCUGUCUCUUAUAC